rnacentral:rRNA from 1 species
UACGUAGGGUGCGAGCGUUGUCCGGAAUUAUUGGGCGUAAAGAGCUCGUAGGCGGUCUGUCGCGUCUGCUGUGAAAUCCCGAGGCUCAACCUCGGGCCUGCAGUGGGUACGGGCAGACUAGAGUGCGGUAGGGGAGAUUGGAAUUCCUGGUGUAGCGGUGGAAUGCGCAGAUAUCAGGAGGAACACCGGUGGCGAAGGCGGUUCUCUGGGCAGUAACUGACGCUGAGGAGCGAAAGCGUGGGGAGCGAACAGG